rnacentral:rRNA from 1 species
UACAGAGGUCUCAAGCGUUGUUCGGAUUCAUUGGGCGUAAAGGGUGCGUAGGCGGCGCGGUAAGUCGGGUGUGAAAUCUCGGAGCUUAACUCCGAAACUGCAUUCGAUACUGCCGUGCUUGAGGACUGGAGAGGAGACUGGAAUUUACGGUGUAGCGGUGAAAUGCGUAGAUAUCGUAAGGAAGACCAGUGGCGAAGGCGGCUUCCUGGACCGACACUGACGCUGAGGCGCGAAAGCUAGGGGAGCAAACGGG